rnacentral:tRNA from 1 species
CGGCUCGUAGCUUAGUGGAAAAGCACUCGGCUGAUAACCGAGAGAUGGUGAGUUCGAUUCUCACCGAGCCGA